rnacentral:rRNA from 1 species
GGGUUGUGAGGUUAAGCGACUAAGCGUACACGGUGGAUGCCCUGGCAGUCAGAGGCGAUGAAGGACGUGCUAAUCUGCGAUAAGCGUCGGUAAGGUGAUAUGAACCGUUAUAACCGGCGAUUUCCGAAUGGGGAAACCCAGUGUGAUUCGUCACACUAUCAUUAACUGAAUCCAUAGGUUAAUGAGGCGAACCGGGGGAACUGAAACAUCUAAGUACCCCGAGGAAAAGAAAUCAACCGAGAUUCCCCCAGUAGCGGCGAGCGAACGGGGAGGAGCCCAGAGCCUGAAUCAGUGUGUGUGUUAGUGGAAGCGUCUGGAAAGGCGCGCGAUACAGGGUGACAGCCCCGUACACAAAAAUGCACAUACUGUGAGCUCGAUGAGUAGGGCGGGACACGUGGUAUCCUGUCUGAAUAUGGGGGGACCAUCCUCCAAGGCUAAAUACUCCUGACUGACCGAUAGUGAACCAGUACCGUGAGGGAAAGGCGAAAAGAACCCCGGCGAGGGGAGUGAAAAAGAACCUGAAACCGUGUACGUACAAGCAGUGGGAGCCUCUUUUAUGGGGUGACUGCGUACCUUUUGUAUAAUGGGUCAGCGACUUAUAUUCUGUAGCAAGGUUAACCGAAUAGGGGAGCCGAAGGGAAACCGAGUCUUAACUGGGCGUUAAGUUGCAGGGUAUAGACCCGAAACCCGGUGAUCUAGCCAUGGGCAGGUUGAAGGUUGGGUAACACUAACUGGAGGACCGAACCGACUAAUGUUGAAAAAUUAGCGGAUGACUUGUGGCUGGGGGUGAAAGGCCAAUCAAACCGGGAGAUAGCUGGUUCUCCCCGAAAGCUAUUUAGGUAGCGCCUCGUGAAUUCAUCUCCGGGGGUAGAGCACUGUUUCGGCAAGGGGGUCAUCCCGACUUACCAACCCGAUGCAAACUGCGAAUACCGGAGAAUGUUAUCACGGGAGACACACGGCGGGUGCUAACGUCCGUCGUGAAGAGGGAAACAACCCAGACCGCCAGCUAAGGUCCCAAAGUCAUGGUUAAGUGGGAAACGAUGUGGGAAGGCCCAGACAGCCAGGAUGUUGGCUUAGAAGCAGCCAUCAUUUAAAGAAAGCGUAAUAGCUCACUGGUCGAGUCGGCCUGCGCGGAAGAUGUAACGGGGCUAAACCAUGCAC